UCUUCACAUAAACAUAUUCUGAAUAGCUUGUGUUUUUCUCUAAGCUACAUUGCUUAUGCUGUGAUAAAAGGUUCAAAACAAAUGAAAAUAUAAUUGAAAGAUGCAUUCUUCUUUUUCAAAACAUUUGUUUUUAUUGGACUCUGUUCUGUUGUUUUUUUUUCAGGGUGCUUCCUUAAACACAGAAGCAGGUAGAACAGAUUGAGUGGCUAAAACUGAAAGCAAAACUGCAGUUUAACAUCGUCAAAGAAAGAGCAUGAACAAUCGGCAAUAACCAGCAGGAUAUUUUUCAUGGCUUAAUAGAUUUCUAAACCAAAGAAGAGUGACACUGCUUCUAAAAUGAGUCUCAGUGAGAAGACAGAGGAGGGAUGUUCCCAGUGCUGGAGAUCUUCAGAUCCCAGCUGUGUGUCUGUGAAGAGUGACAGAUCCAUGGAUCGGCCUGAUUAUCUCAAUGAUGAAGCAGUGACUUUUGAUCCCAUCAGUGUGGGAACAGAUGAUCAGAGUGCAGACCACCUAAAUGAUUCUUCUCAAACAAUAAAUGAUGUUUUGAAGAGAGUCAAAGACCAACACAAAAUGAGCAUGAAGAACAAGUAUGAGAGAUUAUUUGAGGGACUGAAACUCCAGGAGAAUGAAACCCUCCUGAACAGCAUCUACACACAAGCUCUACAUCAUAAGAAGGAGAGAGAGAAGGAGUGAAUG
rnacentral:lncRNA from 1 species